rnacentral:rRNA from 1 species
UGCCUACGGGGGGCAGCAGUCGGGAAUAUUGCGCAAUGGAGGAAACUCUGACGCAGUGACGCCGCGUAUAGGAAGAAGUUUUUCGGAAUGUAAACUAUUGUCGUUAGGGAAGAGAAAGGACAGUACCUAAGGAGGAAGCUCCGGCUAACUACGUGCCAGCAGCCGCGGUAAUACGUAGGGAGCGAGCGUUGUCCGGAAUUACUGGGUGUAAAGGGAGCGUAGGCGGGCGAGAAAGUUGAAUGUUAAAUCUACCGGCUUAACUGGUAGCUGCGUUCGAAACUUCUUGUCUUGAGUGAAGUAGAGGC